rnacentral:tRNA from 1 species
GCCGUCGUGGCUCAAUGGUUGAGCGUCGACCUAUGAGCUAGAAGGUCAGGGUUCAAUUCCCUGUCAGGGCA